rnacentral:rRNA from 1 species
UGGGCUUGACAUCCCACGAACCUGCCCGAAAGGGUAGGGUGCCCGCAAGGGAGCGUGGAGACAGGUGGUGCAUGGCUGUCGUCAGCUCGUGUCGUGAGAUGUUGGGUUAAGUCCCGCAACGAGCGCAACCCUCACCCCUUGUUGCCACCGGGUUAUGCCGAGCACUCUAGGGGAACUGCCAGCGUCAAGCUGGAGGAAGGCGGGGAUGACGUCAAGUCAUCAUGCCCCUUACGCCCUGGGCGACACACGUGCUACAAUGGCUGGUACAAAGGGAUGCAAGACCGCGAGGUGGAGCUAAUCCCAAAAAACCGGUCUAAGUUCAGAUUGCAGUCUGCAACUCGACUGCAUGAAGGAGGAAUCGCUAGUAAUCGCGCAUCAGCACGGCGCGGUGAAUACGUUCCCGGGCCUUGUACACACCGCCCGUCACACCACGAAAGCCGGCUGUACUCGAAGUCGCUGAG